UACGUAGGUUGCAAGCGUUAUUCGGAAUCACUGGGCGUAAAGGGCGCGCAGGCGGUUUUGUAAGUCUAAAGUGAAAACCUUGGGCUUAACCCAAGGGCUGCUUUAGAUACUGCAAAACUCGAGUUCGGGAAAAGCAAGCGGAAUUCCUGGUGAAGGGGUGAAAUCCGUAGAUAUCAGGAAGAACACAAGUGGCGAAAGCGGCUUGCUAGAACGCAACUGACGCUUAGGCGCGAAAGCGUGGGGAGCAAACAGG
rnacentral:rRNA from 1 species